CAAAACUUUUCACUUUCUUAUCAUUCAUGUGUUCACGUUGUGUUAGCAGCUAUGAAAACAGCAUUAAUCUUGUACAUCUCCAUCAGAGCUCUUGGAUGACAGGUACAUUGUCAAUGAGCAAUACUAUUUUGAAAGGAUUUUUUUUUCUCAGCAGGAGGUCUCAACAGUGGAAUUAAAAUAUGCAGUCAACCAUUCUGUAAACAAAUGUGCUGUCAUCCAGGCUUUGUUGCUACUGAAGUAGCAUUUUCAGUUUCCUUUAAGAACUUUUUCUUUGUAUUCACAACUUGGCUAACUGUCUGGCACAAGAGGCCUAGCUUUCAUCCUAUUUUGGUUUGUGACACACACUCCUCACUAAGAAUAAUCAUUUCUAGCAGUUGAUUUAAAAUGAGAGAUGUGCAACUCUUUCUUUUAUUUGAACACUUAGUGGCAUUGUAGGAUUAUUAACUGGUCUAAUUUUAAUGGUGUUGGCUGAUAUUAGAGGCUGAUAUCUAUCAUGAACAUAGCUGCAAAAUUCCUCCAAAAAUUAGCAAAUGAAUUUUUUAAAGUAUUGAUAUAAAAGGAAAUAUAUACCACAACCAAGUGGAAUUUAUUCCGGGUAUGCAAAGAGAAUUCAACAUUCAAAAAUCGAUCGGUGUAAUCCAUCUUAUCAUUAGGAAAUCCUAGAUAAUAAAUUCUAGAUGAGCAAAAGUGUAAAAAUCUUAGGAACCAAAAGUAAAACAGCAAUAAUCAUGACAACAACAACUAAAACUACUCAGCAAGUUGUAAGGAAGCAAGUAGACCACUUUAUUUACUGCCUCGCCAGUUCAGCCCACUCUCUAUGAGGACCCAAGAGAAAAAUGAUAAAUGAUAAGCUAUUUAGUCUUGUUGAGGACCAGUUUUCUUUUGUCUGUGAAAUGGGCAUACACACAGAAAGACUUCCUUCUUCCCCUUUUGCAUAGUCUAAAUGAAUAUCUUAAAAUACAGCUGUUUGUAUACCCAUUUGUAUACCCAGACUAAAGAAAACUGGUCCUCAACAAGACUAAAUAGCCUUCCCUGGGUCAACUCAUGAGUAGCAGACACAGGUAAGGAUGACAGGUGCGGUAGCAAAGCAUUACCAAUGAGACAGGCUGGGUCUUAGAUAUUAGGUAAGAUGAAAGUACCACAGAACAAAAGAGCUGUCUGGGAAAUUUAUAGGUAGGGAUGGGCAAAGAGGCCUAUAUUUGGAAAAAGUGUAGCAAUCCUCACCACACAAGAGGACAUGUCAAUAACCCUCUUGCCUUCUUCCUCCUUGACACAUGAACAGUGCAAUCGCAGAACUCAUGGAGCUCAAAAUCUGACGCAGACAAGAGGCACAUAUGACACCACAUAGUGCACAGGAAAUGCAGGGUGCUAUGGCAAUACUGGUACGGUGGGGCACAAUGGACUGGGCGAACUGAUAAAAGAUGUCAUAGAGAAUAUAAUAAGCAAGCUGAACUUUGCAGGACAAACCGACAUCAAAUGACCUCAACUCAACUCUUUCAUUAAAUAAUUGUGUGACCCUGGAUAAAUCACAUAACCUCUCCGGACUUUGCAAUUUUCAUCUGUAAAACUGAAGGAGUAAGAAGGAUAGUUUCUAAGGGUUUUUUCAGUUCCAUCAGUCAAUAAUGAUGUAACUCUGUAACAGAAUGGAAAUAUUGUUCAAUUCUUUUCCUAACGUUUCUCAUGUAUGCUAUGUUUUUCCUUUCCCUUUUGCUUGCUUUGGCAAUCCACAUUACCCUGCCACACCCUCCACCACCACUAGAAAAAAAGAGGAAGCAAAAGGAAGGUUUAAAAAUGGCAAGUACCUUUACUCUUAGCUAAGUUUAACAUGCUUUUAGUCAUCUGCUGUGGAUUAUUUUGGCUUUAUACUCUAUUUACUCUGUCAAUCAAUAAAAAAAGUACCACUCACCACACCACCAACCACAGCAUAUGUGUGCAGACUCUAGUAUGGAAAGAGAGAAAUCUUUUUGUGGGGUUUUAGAAAAAGCUAUUAGCUAUAUAGGAUUUUACUAAUAUUUUUGGUAUUUCAACACAGAACUUCAAACCUUUGACAUACGGAAUUUCUAAGAAUUCUAUUAAGUUUGUGUGAACUAUCAUAUUUUAUUAUUAAAGGGCUAUUUUUCUCAGAUACAGUAAAGAGCGGAAAACAAGGCAUGAUGAAAAAUGCUGAGUCAUUGUAAAAGACAAACCAAUAAAGGAAAGUGCUGGGAAAGUGAUACAGGUAAAAGAGAAAAAAUAGAAGAGAAGAUGCCUCAGGCCCAGUCUUGAGGAACUUCAAAACAUACCUAAUGAAAAAGACAAGCCUCCAAGAAAUAAAAGAAAAGCCAGAGAAGAUGGAGGGACUCAGGAGAGUGAAGUAUUACUGAGAACAGAACAGGGUCUUUCAAACAGGGGAGUCAUGGUAAACACUGUGGAAUACUGCUGAAAGGUCAACCAAUAUCAGAACUGAGAAAUGUCCAUUGCACUCAGUGACAUGAAUGCUAUUGGUGACCUAAACAAGGGGUGUUACAAAAGAGUUGGAGGGGAGGAGUUUAUUUGCUUUUAUUUGCCUUGUAACUCUUUUCAGGCCAAUUUGAGCCUCAAUUUCCCUAGCUAUAAACAUGGAGCUAACCACAACCUAUUUCAGAGAGAAUUCCACAGUGUUUGUCACAGUAUGUGUUCAUUAAAUAUUUCCCUGCAUAUUCGAGUUUUAUCCAAGAGAUACUGCUUUUACUGUAUUAAUUCAGAUUUCACUUGUCCCAAAUUUUUCUUGGUGUGGUUAAUCAGAAUAACAGAUAUGGAAUUUACCCCAUAAUGAAUUAUACUAUAACAGAUUUUGAGUAACAAUCUACAUAAAAGUAUGGAUAUGCAAGCAAAU
rnacentral:lncRNA from 10 species